rnacentral:lncRNA from 1 species
AGUGCAUCCAUAGGCAAGUUCAUAACCAAUUAUUUCUCUAAACAACUUCUAGCAAUUAGGUUUUGCCCCAGGCAUUCCUUUAGUAGGCGUGUGGUGCCUCCACUGAAAAUCUUGGUUAGGUCCGACCAUUAACAUGACAAUACCAAGUGCAUCCAACAAAUGAAUAUUCAGGUCUAAAUAUGGCUCGACAAACCUGAGCAAAGGUACAUCAUG